rfam:TPA: Bos taurus chromosome 18, whole genome shotgun sequence.
UCCCUGGUGGUCCAGUGGCUAAAACUCUGAGCUCCUGGUGCAAAGAGCCCAGGUUCGAUCCCUGGUCAGGGAA